ACUGAAUAGAUACCCGGGUAGUCCACGCCCUAAACGAUGUCUACUAGUUGUCGGGGAUUCAUUUCCUUGGUAAACGCAGCUAAACGCGUGAAGUAGACCGCCUGGGAAGUACGGCCGCAAGGUUAAAACUCAAAGGAAUUGACGGGGACCCGCACAAGCGGUGGAUGAUGUGGAUUAAUUCGAUGCAACGCGAAAAACCUUACCUACGCUUGACAUGCCAGGAACUUUCCAGAGAUGGAUUGGUGCCCGAAAGGGAACCUGGACACAGGUGCUGCAUGGCUGUCGUCAGCUCGUGUCGUGAGAUGUUGGGUUAAGUCCCGCAACGAGCGCAACCCUUAUCCUUAGUUGCUACGCAAGGGCACUCUAGGGAGACUGCCGGUGACAAACCGGAGGAA
rnacentral:rRNA from 1 species